UACGAAGGGGGCUAGCGUUGCUCGGAAUUACUGGGCGUAAAGGGCGCGUAGGCGGCACUGUUAGUCAGGCGUGAAAGUCCUGGGCUCAACCUGGGAACUGCGCUUGAUACGGCAGAGCUAGAGGAUGGAAGAGGGUCGCGGAAUUCCCAGUGUAGAGGUGAAAUUCGUAGAUAUUGGGAAGAACACCGGUGGCGAAGGCGGCGACCUGGUCCAUUACUGACGCUGAGGCGCGACAGCGUGGGAGCAACAGG
rnacentral:rRNA from 1 species